GCGCCUGUAGUCUAACGGCAGGACCACAAUCUCGGGAUGGCAUGCCUUCCAAGCUGUUGAUCCGGGUUCGAAUCCCGGCGGGCGCA
rnacentral:tRNA from 1 species